CGGACGGGUGAGUAAUGUCUGGGAAACUGCCUGAUGGAGGGGGGUAACUACUGGAAACGGUAGCUAAUACCGCAUAACGUCGCAAGACCAAAGAGGGGGACCCUCGGGCCUCUUGCCAUCGGAUGUGCCCAGAUGGGAUUAGCUAGUAGGUGGGGUAACGGCUCACCUAGGCGACGAUCCCUAGCUGGUCUGAGAGGAUGACCAGCCACACUGGAACUGAGACACGGUCCAG
rnacentral:rRNA from 1 species